CCCUUAGAUGUCCUGGGCUGCACGCGCGCUACACUGACGAAGGCAACGAGCUUUCCUUUACCGAAAGGUACGGGUAAUCUUUUGAAACUUCGUCGUGCUGGGGAUAGAUCCUUGCAAUUUUUGAUCUUAAACGAGGAAUGCCUAGUAAGCGCAAGUCAUCAACUUGCGUUGAUUACGUCCCUGCCCUUUGUACACACCGCCCGUCGCUACUACCGAUUGAAUGGUUUAGUGAGGCCUUCGGAUCCGCGACUCGUUUGUGGAGAAGUUGGACAAACUCAGUCAUUUAGAGGAAGUAAAAGUCGUAACA
rnacentral:rRNA from 1 species